GUCACUUUGCCGGAGUGGUUAACGGGAUCGCCUGCUAAUAUGCAGAUUAAGCGGUUGGGCUUUGCCCGCGAGUGUUCGAAUCGCUCAGGUGACG